rnacentral:rRNA from 1 species
GACGAACGCUGGCGGCGUGCUUAACACAUGCAAGUCGAACGGAAAGGCCCUGCUUUUGUGGGGUGCUCGAGUGGCGAACGGGUGAGUAACACGUGAGUAACCUGCCCUUGACUUUGGGAUAACUUCAGGAAACUGGGGCUAAUACCGGAUAGGAGCUCCUGCUGCAUGGUGGGGGUUGGAAAGUUUCGGCGGUUGGGGAUGGACUCGCGGCUUAUCAGCUUGUUGGGGGGGUAGUGGCUUACCAAGGCUUUGACGGGUAGCCGGCCUGAGAGGGUGACCGGCCACAUUGGGCCUGAGAUACGGCCCAGACUCCUACGGGAGGCAGCAGGGGGGAAUCUUGCGCAAUGGGCGGAAGCCUGAUGCAGCAACGCCGCGUGCGGGAUGACGGCCUUCGGGUUGUAAACCGCUUUCGCCUGUGACGAAGCGUGAGUGACGGUAAUGGGUAAAGAAGCACCGGCUAACUACGUG